rnacentral:rRNA from 1 species
GUGCCAGCCGCCGCGGUAAUACCGGCAGCCCGAGUGAUGGCCGAUCUUAUUGGGCCUAAAGCGUCCGUAGCUGGCUGCGCAAGUCCGUCGGGAAAUCCACGUGCUUAACGCGUGGGCGACCGGCGGAAACUGUUCGGCUUGGGGCCGGAGGACCCGAGGGGUACGUCCGGGGUAGGAGUGAAAUCCCGUAAUCCUGGACGGACCGCCGGUGGCGAAAGCACUUCGAGAAAACGGAUCCGACAGUGAGGGACGAAAGCCAGGGUCUCCAACCGGAUUAGAUACCCCAGUAGUCC